rnacentral:rRNA from 1 species
GAUGAACGCUAGCGACAGGCUUAACACAUGCAAGUCGAGGGGCAGCGACAUCGAAAGCUUGCUUUUGAUGGGCGUCGACCGGCGCACGGGUGAGUAACGCGUAUCCAACCUGCCCGUCACUUGGGGAUAACCUUGCGAAAGUAAGACUAAUACCCGAUGAUAUCCCUAGAAGACAUCUGAAAGGGAUUAAAGAUUUAUCGGUGAUGGAUGGGGAUGCGUCUGAUUAGCUUGUUGGCGGGGUAACGGCCCACCAAGGCAACGAUCAGUAGGGGUUCUGAGAGGAAGGUCCCCCACAUUGGAACUGAGACACGGUCCAAACUCCUACGGGAGGCAGCAGUGAGGAAUAUUGGUCAAUGGGCGAGAGCCUGAACCAGCCAAGUAGCGUGCAGGACGACGGCCCUAUGGGUUGUAAACUGCUUUUAUAAGGGAAUAAAGUGAGUCUCGUGAGACUUUUUGCAUGUACCUUAUGAAUAAGGACCGGCUAAUUCCGUGCCAGCAGCCG